CUGGUUUUCAAGUAUGUCCUGGGGAUGUUACCUUAGCUCAACAUCCAGGGGUUGUUGUUAUUAUUACCUAAUUUAAUAGUACUUAUUUUAUCUAUCGCAGAAGGAAGAAGGGCUGAGUUAACCCUGCCAGGAUUUAAACCUGCAACCCAAGGGAUGAAAAGACUCCACUGAGCUAUCUCACCGGCCUAAUGGAAGCCCAAUCCAAUGCUUCUAAUAGGGCUGGCAUUUCCAGGUUUCACUAUAGAAAAGCUUUGAAGGGCUUACGCAUCACAUGACCAAAUUUUACUUAGUGAGUGUGACGGAAGCACCUCUAGUGGCUGUCAGUAUCACAGCCACUAGAGGUGGAUUUAACGUUGAAUGGUUAAAUUAACAGAAUCACUACACUGGGGUGAUGUUGCUUGGGUGACUUUAGAAGGCUUGUGGCAGCUGCCAGGUAUUACCUUCUUCUGCUCUGUUUGCCAGAUUUGUUUUGCCAAUAUUCAUGUUUUCCGUUUCUAGUGUCACAAUCCAACAUUAGCAGCUGCUGAUUACUUUUAUAACAUAUGUUAUACUGUCAAGGCAGGUGUAUGUGAGGUUGAGAAAUACUUUGCAGAUAAAUGCCUAACCCCCAAACUGGCUGUUAUACUCGCAACUAUUUUGGCUAUUUUGGCUAUGGCAUAUACAGGAGUAGUUACUAAAGUAAUUUGCAAUGGGAAUUUCAAGUCUAAUUUUAGGCCAGAGUAGCAAAACUUGAAGCUUCGCUUAGAUAAUUUGUCUAAUUCGGCUAUUUUGACCUUAAAUUCGAAAUUCACUUUUAACUCUUGUCAAAGUGAAUAUCCCUGUUACAAAGGCAGAACAGAGUUAUUCACCAAAAUCUGAAUAGUAAAAAUAUUAUGUAAAGUGGUACUAUAACCACUACUAUGUUGUUACAGCAGUUAUGGUUCUUAGAGUGUUCCUUAAAAUAUUAUAACAUUCAAUGGAAUGUUUUAAAGGACCACAAUAGUGCCAGGAAAACAAACUCGUUUUCCUGGCACUAUAGGGUCAUUAGG